UGUAAUGUGACUUGAGCGACUGCAAGGCAAAAGAGAUUAUAAAAAAGUAGAACUGCAGUCUGUAUUUGUUCUCUGAGUGUUUGAUUAUUUGAUUGUUAUAUAUAUAUAUAACAAUAUAUAUAUAUUGUUAACUCCAUCUUUACAGUUCCAAAAUGUCUUGUGUUUUCAAUGAAGUGCCAUUCCUUUGUUGAAAGAUUGUGGCAAAAUCCAUGACGAAAAGGCUGUUUCACAAAAUCAGCAUCAAAUGAAUAUCAAAAGGAAACCAAAAUUAAAAAAGUACGAUGUUAAAUCAGUUGGCUUUUAACAAGGUAAACAACAAUUCAGGUCAAUAUGGUUCCAAAGGUAAUAUUCAGAGAUUGAAACCUAAUCUGGAGAUGAAUUUGGUUAGUACAAGCUUUAAGUUCUUUAGAAGGAUGUUCUAAUUAAGCUAUCAAUGCAAAUCAGGAAACCUCGCUAUUGAUAUUUGGAUCUCAUAAAUUCAUCCCUACAGAAAGAUUCCACUGUUUUGAAUGAACUUGCCUCAACAGCUCUAACCUUGCUAUACUGUUCUAGUUAAAACAACAACAAUGCAACAACAACCCUCCCCGCUAAAAAAAUAAAAACUAUAUAAAUAAAAAAGAACUUCUGGGUUGGAUUAAGGAUUAUCUAUCAUGCGGCUCAAGGAAACGCAUGCAGUUCUUACAUAAUAAACCAUUUUUUAAGUUGGUUGUCACAACACCUGGAUUCUAAAGAUCCAUUUCCUACAACAGUGAAUUGUUGAUAGGCACAAUUGUGCAGUUCUUGCAUUCCGAGACAAUUGCAAAGUGGUUUGUGAUUAUUAUUUUUUAAAAAAAUAACCGUUUACAAUAACUUAACUCAAGUCUUCUAUAGAUUGAUUUCAAGGAAAAAAAGAAGUUUGCGGUAACCUAUCUCUUACAUAUAUUUUGAGAACAACUCUCAAUGGCCACUUCUUAGCUAAUAACCUGUGCAUUUCUCCUUCAGCCAAAAGCAGUCAAAUUGUUCAUUUUCAUGAUUAACCAACUUUCUUUGAUCUGAACAUUGGAACUCUUCAAUGGCCGAGUUAGAACUGUUUUUGUCACUGAUAAAUUCAAAAUCAGAAGAGACCAACCAAUUUACUUCCAGAAUUUGUUCCCAAUGUGCUUUAUGGACACUUAAAUCUAUAACCAUAAUGCAUUUCUGUCUGUUUUUGUAAUGAGUUAUUGAAUUAAAUAAAACAUAACUUACCCUAUUUUUGACCUUUUCAGGAAUUCCCGACCCCUCCUCCUUUGACUCCUACAGUCUGCAUUUGUUUUGCCUGAUUUAGUCCUCUUUAAGCUAGAAGCAUGAGUAGGACAGUAUUUAUUACAGUCAAUUUAACUGUGAGCUUGAUGGUAUUCUUUUAUCAACAGUGAGCGUUGAAGAGAAAGCAUGAGAACGGGAAGAAUCAAUUGUGUGGGUAAAAUUGUCUGACUUGGUCAUCUGGUAUUCAGAUAUCAGUUGAGUUGGAAAGGGAUAUUGCUGGGUUGUUCUAUAUCUUAAAGGUCUGCUAAUUGUGUUGGAAAGUCAUAUUUUGCUUACCAACCAUGUGCUCUAAGAUGAAACAAAGAUUGUUGGUGAGUUUCAGCCAACACAAAUACUAAGAGAUUUGACUGCCAACAUGAGAAAAGUCUGUCCUUUAGAACAGCUGUGAAGAUGAAGCAAUUCAUCAUGAAGAUUAUUAUUCCAAGCAUUUUAGAAACUGCCUUGGGUAUAAUAUCUGGGUAAAUUUUACAUGGUUUCAAUUAAGAGCGGUCAUGCUUAAAGAAAGUAAUAUGGCACUGUCUUCCUUUGCCUCGCUCCUGUCACGGAUGAAAGGUUUUAAAAUAAGUAGGUUCAACUGGAAGCAGGGAAACCAUUAUAAAUUGUUUGUCUUAAAGAGCAUAUUGUUAUUAAUGUCAUGUAUUAUUAUUAAUAGUUGCCCUCAUGCUGAAUUUCUCAAUGCACCCUGCUUCUCAUUGAGGCAUUGAAAGACUGAAACAAGACAUGUUUAAAUCGCAGUUUGGCUGUAGUUACAAAAGGUUGUAUAUAUUUUACUCAUGUUUAUAGAUCAGUUUCAUGUCCUUAAUCAGUAGCUGGUUUUCCUUCCAUGAGUAGUUGUGCAUUUGAAGUUUGAACUAUUAAAUUCAGGUCAAGGAAAGAAAGCCACUUUGUGUCUGUGUUCCUAUUUUAAUUUAAAAAAAAAAACUCUUAAGGCAGAAAUACUUAUGUUCCUACCAUGAGUCAAUCGAUUAUCAUAAUCCAGAGUAACUUUCUGGAAGAAAUAAUUGAGAUCACAGGAAUUCCACUGUUGAGGAAUUCUGAUUUAGCGCUGUGUGAGUAAAUAUUGUAUAUGAGUUUUUGCAACUGAAUGAUGCAUGAGUAACUACUGAAUCACCACAUUUGGUUAUGAGCCAUUUGAAAAAUUAAAAGAGAACAGCCUCCAGCCAUUUGUUAAUAUUUUUUUCCAAGGCAAGUUAAUAAUAAUCAAGGUAAGUCUUUGAAAUAGGAAAAUAUCUUUUUAAAAUUAAUUCCACAUUCCCAUGUCAUUCUGCUGUAUGAGUAAAGUAGCACCAAAUUACAAUAGCUAUCUUUAUUAUUAUUAUUAUUAUUCACAGGAUUUAUAGGUUCCUCCAACUGACUCUGAGCAGACUAUUAUUUCCUUCUGAACAAUAUCUGAAUGUACCAAUCUUUCAUACAAUAUAGAUUGAGAGGUCUUUCCAUAGUGCAAAUCUACUCAAAAAUAAACCAUUCUGUGUUCAGCAGUCAUUCCCAAUAAAACAUACGAAGAAUUACAACUAUCAAAGAGCUUCGGAUUCUCUAGAUCUUGUUUGUUUUAAUUAAUUGCAUGCAAGGUAGUUUAAGACUUAUGUAUGCAAUUUAACUUGUAACUUCUGACAGAUUACUGAUCUAUUUUAAUGGGACUUUUAUUUUAUAUCUGACUGUCUUUCACUUCAUGGGACUCUCUCAAAGAUCAGGAUAUGAUAAUGCAAAUGAAUAGCAAUUGCCUUUGAGUUCUUAACAAGCGAUUCUUGGUUAUAAAUUCUUGGUUUGAAUAAAAAAUGAGGGGGAAAUUGAUAUAAAAUAUGAAUGACAAUAUAACAUUGUAAUAAGGCAAUUGUAAAGUGGAAUUACUUUGUCAAUGCCUGUAAGCACUUCCUUAACAUUUCAAUUAAUUACACAUUGUGUUCCUACAUGGCAUGUUUGGCCAGACUGAGUUAUAGGGCAUCCAAUUAUUUUUUUAGAGAAUGGAACUAGUGAUUCCCAAAAGACAGGAAUCAGGCAGAGGGCAGUUGGAAAUCUUUUAGCCAAAUUUUACACUAAUUGUCUCAAACAUAAGUGACCCUGAAUUUGGUGAAACUUACAUCUUUUUAAUACAUGAGAUUGAAAUCUAGGAGUAUUUUACAAACAACACUUCCUUAUCAGAUGGGAGUAGAUAGAUUUAAAUUAAAGCCCAAAAGAGAUACGCCUUCUAAAAGAAUCCUUAUCCAAUAACUUUCUGCUUUCAUUUUAAACACUAUUUGUCAUGAAAAUGUUUUGCCACUCAUUCUAUGAUCAAUGUGGUUUAUUGAGAUCUGCUUUAAUGAUAACACACUUAAUCUACAGUACACCCAGGGUGCUUUAUGAAGGAACCACACCCAAUUUCUAAUUCUUGGCUUUUUUUUUUUUUUUUGCUUUUUUUUUUAGAGGAAUUUAAUGAUUUUGCUUUUUAGCACAAGUAGCAGCAUCAAAGUAAGAUGCCCAAGAAUGAAAUCUGAAAAUGUCAUAACUUUCUUUUAAAUGUUAUGUUUAAAAGCAACAUACAUGCCAUUACAUUUCAGUGCAAUCUUUUAUUUUAGAGGCAGGAGAACACCUGUUUUAUUAAAAUGGGAUUAAAAAAAAUACUAAUUUUAAUGAUCGAAGUUUCACUGCCAGUUCUGCCCUUGAUUUUACAGAGUAGAACAGGUGAGUGUAAGACUUUAGAUAUUUAAAGUAAACAGGGCUUAUUUCAAAAUGUUACAGUCACUGUGCCAACGUGCUGCACUUGAUUGGCUAAAUAAAUUACAUAACUUUUCCCCAUUCUAAAAUAUUUAUUACACAACAACUCUGUUUGCUACUUAGUAAAAUUUAUACAAUUAUUAAGGGGAUUCUGUAUGAAAAUCUUUUGAGUAUGCCACAAUCAAAGUUAAAUCAUUUCUAAACACAAGUUUAGUAGGCUAACAAUUGACAAAUUUCUCCUUUGAUUGAAUUGGGACUAGUAUGAUUUUCAGCUCAAUUAAAAUCGAUACACUUUUUUUGAAUAGAUUCUCAUUUCUGGCCACAUUGUCCCAAAGGGAAGGGAAAAUGGAUUAAAAUAUUUUCUGAUUCACUGAUUACAUGCUCACUGAUUUUCAGGGACAGAAUAUUUCCCAAUGAAAUAUACUAGGAAAGUGUGGAGAAGUUGGCCUGAGUGGCUUCAUGUUAAAAGAAAUAUAUUUGCCCAGAAGAUUUAAGCAAACUGGGUCUUGCAGUUUAGUAGUUGUAUAAAGUAUUAGUGGGUUUACUUCACAUUUAAAUCAUAGGCAUGUCAACUGAUCAAUCUUUACACCCAGUGCUUGCAAGACCUGUGAACAUCGUAACUAAUCAGUUUCUAUUUCAGUUAAUCUUAUUUCCUAACAAGGAAAUUGCAAUCAUUUUGGAAUUGGAUUACAUCCUAGAAGACAAUGGGACACUUUAUUUAUUAUACAGAAAUCCCACGGGUCUUUCAAAGCAACAAAGUGUUUCUUUAUUUUAACCUGACAUUAACUCUGCAAACUAAAUUAAGCUGGGCAAAAGGUUGAAUUCACACAUUAUGUUAAGACAUAGGAUGGUUUCCUUGAUCUAGGCUUGGAGGAACGUGUGAACCCAUUCCUUGUGAUUUAUAAAUCUCAGUUUAUGUCUAAAGCCCAACAAUUUGGGGUUGAUUUAGUAAAGUGGCUUAGUGGCAUACCUAAACUCCGGUUUUAUUGAUUGGUCAUUCUAAUAAGCUUCAAAGCUAGAAAAAAGCAUUUCGGUGUGGCUCAACCUGAACAAAAUCCAGCCACAAAGCAAUAUUAAUAUGAGGGCAAGUAAUGGAAUUGGCGCAUCAACUUUUGAAGAAAGAUAAGCGACUCUUUGCAAACAGCUACAGGAGAACCAUGCUAGAGGUCCUACUUCUGAAUUACACAUAGAGAGAUCUAGUUUUUGCUUAGGAUUGGAAAAGGGAAGAUUUAAUGAAAGAAGAUCACUCUGCAAGGACUAGUCUAAGCCAAAGCGCUAACUUAUUUCUGCCUCUUCCCCAUCCAAUCCAAAGCUGUCUCAUCAUUUUCGCCAAGAUCCGUAACUGUUAAAAAAAAAAAAAUACUGGGAAAGCUGACUAUUUUAUGGGAAGGAAAUGAAAACAAAACAAGAAGCUUCUUCAGUUCUGAAGUGAAGAAGCUUCUUGGAUCAGAAGCGAAACGUCUCCAAGCAAAAACAAAGCUGCUCCAGUUGCCUUUUAUAAAAACAUCUUUGAGACAACCAGGAUCUGGAUGACUGAGAAUCUCCAUAUAAACAAAACAAUUCUUCCUAUUUUAGCCCCAAGCUCACAACACCUACGAAUUACAACCAGUCGUAUUUGCUGUUCUGUGUAUAAUCACAGAGCAGGGUGACUUAAUCUUGGACUCUUGGAUAGCCCCCGCUUGUCAUUGGAACUCAACUUUGGAAGACAAGUGCUUGUAGUAAGCAACUGCAAUGUAUUGUAAGCAACUCCAUCUGAAGAUCUGAGCUCCUAAGAGCACUUGGAUUUAUCCAAUUCACCUCCCUUCUCUAACCCCCCCCCCCACAACCUGAGUAGUAUUUCUGGGUCCUUUUUGGAUCUAGAGGACAGUUGCUUGCCUGUCAAAAAGGAAAAACAGAUGAAGAGACGAUACCCAUCUACUGUGUCGGUAUAAGCACCGACAAUUGCCACUUUGUGCCUUUGAAGUCAUAGGAGAUAUAACAGGGCAAGAAAAAGGAAGCAUCAAAGGGGAAAUCAAAAGCAAGCUGUGUUGCCGAAGAAGCUGAUUAGUAGGCUGGUCCACGUCCUUUGGACCUUGAGAGAUGUAACCAGGGAAAUAAGCAACGCAAGUCCAUGGCUUGGUUCAUAAAGCAGGACUAAUUCCCUCUAUUCUUCCCCUUCAUAUACUCGCUCACCCUUGUGAGUGUCUGUCUCUCUUUCUCCCUGUCACUCAAGGCUCCCUUCUUGGACCUGGGAAAGGACCUCACCCUGUGAUGCAAUUCUCAACAAACAAGUUAGAAGGAGAUCUUUUUAUUCAUCAAUUAAAAAUCCCUGGAUGGAUGAUUGCACAGAUUUCAGGAGCAAGGCCGGGCCAAAGAAUCAACAUUUGCAAAUAAGCAAACCUCUGCAUUUUUAACAGAUGAUGUUUGUGUAGGUUUCUGCCUAUCCGUCAAACCAGAUGGGAAUUCUUCCACAUUUCAAAAACAGGCAUCCCAAAUUUCAAACAGACCCGUCAAUAUGGGCAUAUCCUUAUCUAUGCAGACUGCACAGUGGUAAAGUCAGAGCCACAGUUUGAUUCUAGGCGAAAAAGCAGUGGAGGCAGUGUUUCAAUUAAAUAUGAGUACACAACUCUACGCAGAUGCCAGGCUUUUGAAAUUAUUCUCAGAGGAGCUUGUCUCUUGCUUCAGCACUUGGCUCUGAAGCUAAAAUGUGUCCCCAUUUUAUUGCUGGUGAUCAUUUAUGUGUGUCUUUAUUAUUUUUAUUCAUAGCUGCUUCGGUAAAAAUAACAGCAACAGCAGUUCCUUUUUAAAAUGCCUCGUUAGCUAGUCCUUAAUUUGGAAUUCUUCCUACUUUCUAGAGGAGAUUGAGACUGGUUGGGAUUGGGACACUGAAGACAAAGGUGAAUGGGAGGUCACACAGAGAAAAUUCCUUUUGAGCGUUUCAUUGCCAGGUUAGGUAACAUCUUCAGCUGAAU